rnacentral:misc_RNA from 1 species
AGCUAAGCUAUCCCGACCAUUCCGAGCGUAGUAAUCCAUACGUUUUUUUUUUUAUUUUAGUCGAUGAAGGGAUCAUUGUCAAUUAAAGGGAAAGGGGGGAUUACUAAUUUUUAUCCAAGUACUUCAAUUUAUUUGUUCUUUGAUCUUCAAAGAGACGGCUUUAUUAGUUUCAGUAUUCGUAAAGCUAUUGAUUGAAAAUUCAUUUUUAUCGGGAUUCCUUGCUAAAAUUGGAUGUUUAUUCUAUAUAUUCUAUAUCCCAAUCACACGGGAGAAGAUAAAGUCAUUUACGCCCAAUGGCGUUUGUCAAAGAAUGGUAAAAAUAAAGCAAUUUGUAACCGAAAGGGAGAGGGUAGGAUAACGAUUUGGGAAGUCAAAUAGUUAUUUGGGGAUAAAGGGACUUACCCUCACGAUUUAAAAAGUCAACGGAUUUUCCUCUUACUAUAAAUUUCAUUGUUGCCGGUAUUGACAUGUAGAAGGGGACUCUAUCUUUAUUCUUGUCCGAUUGAUCAGUUCGUUAAAAGGUUUAUCGGACUAUGGAGUGAAUUAUUUGAUGAAAAAAAAAUUUAUUUUUUCAUGAAUGGCGAAUGAAUUCACGCCAAUCCUUUUUCUAUUUUUCAUAGAAAAAAAAUCGAGAGAUUUGGGCCUUUAUAAAUUAUUUUCUUUUUAUUUUAUAAAUAUAUAAAAUAAAUUUAAAAAAGAAAUAAUUUUUAUUGAUCUAACGUUUUGGCAGAAAGAUUUAUCUACCGGUGCUCCCGUUUGUUAGAACAGCUUCCAUUGAGUCUCUGGACCUAUCCUUUUUUUUUUUCAUUUUCUGAACCUUUCUUUUGAUAAAACAGGAUUUGGCUCAGGAUUUCCCAUUUUUGUGAAUUCCGGGGUUUCCCUGAAUUUGAAAGUUAUCACUUAGUAGGUUUCCAUAC